rnacentral:rRNA from 1 species
UACGAAGGGGGCUAGCGUUGCUCGGAAUCACUGGGCGUAAAGGGCGCGUAGGCGGAUCUUUAAGUCAGGGGUGAAAUCCUGGAGCUCAACUCCAGAACUGCCUUUGAUACUGAAGAUCUUGAGUUCGGGAGAGGUGAGUGGAACUGCGAGUGUAGAGGUGAAAUUCGUAGAUAUUCGCAAGAACACCAGUGGCGAAGGCGGCUCACUGGCCCGAUACUGUCGCUGAGGCACGAAAGCGUGGGGAGCAAACAGG